rnacentral:rRNA from 1 species
GUGGGGAAUCUUAGACAAUGGGGGAAACCCUGAUCUAGCCAUGCCGCGUGAUCGAUGAAGGCCUUAGGGUUGUAAAGAUCUUUCGCUGGGGAAGAUAAUGACUGUACCCAGUAAAGAAGCCCCGGCUAACUCCGUGCCAGCAGCCGCGGUAAUACGGAGGGGGCUAGCGUUAUUCGGAAUUACUGGGCGUAAAGCGCACGUAGGCGGACCAGAAAGUUGGGGGUGAAAUCCCGGGGCUCAACCUCGGAACUGCCUUCAAAACUCCUGGUCUUGAGUUCGAGAGAGGUGAGUGGAAUUCCGAGUGUAGAGGUGAAAUUCGUAGAUAUUCGGAGGAACACCAGUGGCGAAGGCGGCUCACUGGCUCGAUACUGACGCUGAGGUGCGAAAGCGUGGGGAGCAAACAGGAUUAGAAACCCCGGUAGUCC